UCCUUGGUAGUUCAGUGGGUUAAGGAUCCAGCAUUGCCACUGCUGGGGCACAGGUGCAAUCCCUGGCCCACGAA
rnacentral:tRNA from 1 species